CUAAAAGUCUAUUGUCCAUUUGCCACUGUAUGCCGAGUUAACAUCGCCUUGCUAAACUGCUUUCUUUGCUCUAGGGAACCGUUGAAAAUAUAGCUGUUAUACGGAGGAGCAAACAUUUUUUAUCCAAGUGAUGUGAGUCCUCCGAACCUGAUGAUGUGACAGUCACGUCCAUGGCCUAAAAUUUUAUUGUGGCCUCUAUGGCAGUGAAACAGUGACUAGCUUGUGCUUAUCGUAAUUGCCAGCAACCCAGCACAAGAAUAGCUCUUCUCUGCGGAAUGCUCUCUCUGUCAGAUCUAAAGGUCAGGAUUAUUUUAAAAGGCAGCUCUUGAACUGCUUGUUUAAUUUUCUGCAUUUGGAUAUUUAAACUCUGUGAUUCCACAGAAGUAUACCAGGCGCUAACUGAUGCAACUCUCCACAGCAAGCUUGAAAAGAAGCACUUUCAAAAGAACAAACUGCAAAGUGAUAUUCCUAAUUUCCUUGUUUCUUUGUUACCAUAAUUGUCCUAAGAACAGGCGCCACAUUGUAUAUCUGUAUUUGUAAGACGUUGAACAUCACUUGGUUUAGAGGUAAUGUUUCAAUCAAUGCACUCCAAAACC